AUGGACUCUGUUUUAGGUUUACCUAGAACAAAUAAGGGGAGAGAUAGCAUAUUUGUUGUCGUGGAUAGAUUCUCGAAAAUGGCACACUUUAUACCAUGUCAUAAAAGCGAUGAUGCUGUUAAUGUUGCUGAUUUGUUCUUUUGUGAAAUUAUUCGCUUGCAUGGUGUGCCAAAUACUAUUGUUUCAGAUCAUGAUACUAAAUUUCUUAGCCACUUUUGGAGAUGUUUAUGGGCUAGGUUGGGGACUAAACUGCUUUUCAGUACUAGUUGUCACCCUCAAACUGAUGGACAAAGUGAAGUAGUCAAUAGAACAUUGUCUACUAUGGUUAGGGCUGUUUUGAAGAAUAAUAAAAGAAUGUGGGAAGAACGCUUGCCCCAUAUUGCAUGUGCUUAUAAUCGUUCAUUGCAUUCUACUACUAAGAUGUGCCCUUUUAAAAUUGUGUAUGGUUUCCUACCUCAUGCACCUAUUGAUUUGUUGCCUCUUCCAUCUUUGGAGAAGGUUAAUUUUGAUGCUAAAUAA
rnacentral:rRNA from 1 species